AUUGAACGCUGGCGGCAUGCUUUACACAUGCAAGUCGAACGGUAACAGGUUAAGCUGACGAGUGGCGAACGGGUGAGUAAUGCAUCGGAACGUGCCCGAUCGUGGGGGAUAACGCAGCGAAAGCUGCGCUAAUACCGCAUACGAUCUGAGGAUGAAAGCGGGGGACCGUACGCCCUCGCGCGAUCGGAGCGGCCGAUGUCAGAUUAGGUCGUUGGUGGGGUAAAGGCCCACCAAGCCGACGAUCUGUAGCUGGUCUGAGAGGACGACCAGCGACACUGGGACUGAGACACGGCCCAGACUACUACGGGAGGCAGCAGUGGGGAAUUUUGGACAAUGGGCGAAAGCCUGAUCCAGCAAUGCCGCGUGCAGGAAGAAGGCCUUCGGGUUGUAAACUGCUUUUGUACGGAGCGAAAAGGUCCUUUCUAAUACAAGGGGCUCAUGACGGUACCGUAAGAAUAAGCACCGGCUAACUACGUGCCAGCAGCCGCAGUAA
rnacentral:rRNA from 1 species